rnacentral:rRNA from 1 species
AGAGUUUGAUUUUGGCUCAGGAUGAACGCUAGCGACAGGCUUAACACAUGCAAGUCGAGGGGCAGCGGGGGCGAAGCUUGCUUCGCCUGCCGGCGACCGGCGCACGGGUGAGUAACACGUAUGCGACCUGCCCCCCGCAGGGGGAUAACCGGGAGAAAUCCCGACUAAUACCGCGUAACGCCGCUGGGCUGCAUGGCCCGGCGGCCAAAGGAAGCGAUUCCGGCGGGGGAUGGGCAUGCGGCGCAUUAGCUAGUCGGCGGGGUAACGGCCCACCGAGGCGACGAUGCAUAGGGGUUCUGAGAAGAAGGUCCCCCACACUGGUACUGAGACACGGACCAGACUCCUACGGGAGGCAGCAGUGAGGAAUAUUGGUCAAUGGGCGGGAGCCUGAACCAGCCAAGUCGCGUGAGGGAAGACGGUCCUACGGAUUGUAAACCUCUUUUGCCGGGGAGCAACGGGGUCCUUGCGAGGGCCCGAUGAGAGUACCCGGAGAAAAAGCAUCGGCUAACUCCGUGCCAGCAGCCGCGGUAAUACGGAGGAUGCGAGCGUUAUCCGGAUUUAUUGGGUUUAAAGGGUGCGUAGGCGGGCUGUUAAGUCAGCGGUCAAAUGUCGGGGCUCAACCCCGGCCUGCCGUUGAAACUGGCGGCCUCGAGUGGGCGAGAAGUAUGCGGAAUGCGUGGUGUAGCGGUGAAAUGCAUAGAUAUCACGCAGAACUCCGAUUGCGAAGGCAGCAUACCGGCGCCCGACUGACGCUGAGGCACGAAAGCGUGGGUAUCGAACAGGAUUAGAUACCCUGGUAGUCCACGCAGUAAACGAUG